rnacentral:rRNA from 1 species
AUGGACGUCGUCCCCGCGGCGGCAUCUCCCAAUCUUUACUUGCUCGACCUCGUGAGUUCCGGCCCGAAGCUCAUCGACCGUGGCCUCGUUCUCCCGGACGGCGAGGUGGACAACAUCUACCUCCCUGUCGACACGUUCCAGCUCUUACGAAUCGAUGACACUGUCGUGUAUAAGAACAUCGGCGACAUCACGGUGGUUGACAGGAGCCACCUGUACCCCGGACAGGUGGUCGGGUCGGCCUCCGACAUGGGCGGCCAAAUCGGCGUCGUCACCGGCGUCAACACCAUGCUCAACCUGGCCAAGCUCGACAACAAAGGCCUGCCGAUCAAGGUCAUCAGGGGAGUGUCCCCAUCUAGCCUGCGGCGCAUCAGGAGCCUCAACCUUGGCGACUUUGUCGUGUCUGGGCCGUGGCUCGGCCGUGUUGUGGAGGUGUCGAUCGACAUCGAUGUGUUGUUCGAUGACGGAGCCGUCUGCAGGGUCACCGACGCGGAGUCCAAGAACCUGGUGGGAGUGUGUGUGAACAUACACACCAGGCAUCGCUGCCAAAUGAACAGUAUACUCCACCAGGGGCAGUCCGUCGGCGGGCCAGACGCUUGUUCAAUCUUCAAGGCGGCGCGGUGGCUUAAUGGCUAUUGGCAUCCUGAACGAGACCUAGGGACCAUCAUGAAGCUGGAGACGUCUGGUGUCCUCGUCUACUGGGUGGCAUCAAUGCAUUGUGGCACCGACAAGGAGCUACUAGAGGCAUCCGCUCCUCCGGCCUACCAGAACCCAGACGAUCUAACAUUCUUCUGUGCCUCGUACAACUGCUGCUGGGGGCUUGCUGACCGCUGUUUUUUUCUUGAAACUAGUUCCAACGAAGGGGGUGGAGCUUGCUCUCCUGAUCAACAUGAUGAUGAUGGUGAUGGUGAUGAUGAUGAGGAGGAGGAGGAUGAGGAGGAGGAAUAUAACGCAUGCUCAGAGGACAAUCAAGAAGAGUGUGAAGCAUCAACCUCUCAGGUGCUACCUCCCACGAAGCAAAAAGAUGCGAGGUUUUAUCGGAAGCAUCUAAGGAAGCUUCUUUGA